rnacentral:tRNA from 1 species
GCCGCGAUGGCACAACCUGGUACUGCGCGGGAUUGCUAAUCCCGUUUCCGAAAGGAUUUGAGGGUUCAAAUCCCUCUCGCGGCG